GGGGCUGUGGCUCAGUGGAAGAGCACCUGCCUGGCAUGUGUGAGGCCCUGGGUUCCAUUCUCAGCACCA
rnacentral:tRNA from 1 species